AUGACAUGCAUUGUGCUGAGAUCAUGUGGUUCAGGUUAGAACAGUUUUUCUGGGCUUUGACUGAAUCUCACAGAUCUAAAUGUGUUUUUAUUGCCAUGUUUGCUAAAUGUCCUUGGUAAAGAGUGGAGACUCCAAGGAACACUGGUCAAGCUGCUUUCUCCUACUGACUUUCUGUGUUUAUGAAGAUCCCUUGUUUUCCCAGACUUCAAGACUCAAAACUUCAAGAUCAUAUUGGACUCCUUUUUUGGUUCUCACCUUCUCCAUUUAAUCCAUCAUGAAAGUUUACAUCACUCAACCAAUUCGAAAUCUGUCUGGCUGGGCUCUAAACCUACUUCACAGUGUUCAUUCUGGCAAGAAGGUGUCAUGAGAGUGUCUCUUGAUUGACUCAAUUGAUGAGACCAGAAAUAAAUACAACAUGACAUCAUGGUAGGAACAGUUUUCUAUCUCUAGCUUAAAAUAAAUCUAAAACAUAAUAGGAACUUAUUAGGAAGAACAAUGGCUUUGUAAUUUUCUGUCAUUUAAAAAAUAAAGAAAAUUCUCCUUUCACAGGAUUAUUAAAUGCUCAUUCCAAAGUUUAAAAAAUAUUACUUGUAUAUGACUAUAUUUUAUUUCACUUUAUAGUAAGUUCCUUCUAUAGUCCUGAAUAUAUGGGUUGCUAG
rnacentral:lncRNA from 10 species